UUCCAGUUUCUUCAACAGGCGGUCUUUUGGCUGCGGUACACAAGCGAGAAUCUUCAUCAUAACCAUCGGGACAAUCGGGAGCUCCAUCACAUAAGUAUUGUAUCGAGAUACAGUUGCCAUCUCCAGGACACUUGAAAGGAUACUAGAGGCCCUUUGGAGUUCAGUUGGAUUCGCUGUUGAGGGGUAUUUUCACAAAGAAGAAAAAUAACCUAACAUACCUAUUCCGGAAAAAUCUCUGUAAAGAUCACACAAUACGCACGUGACAUUCCUCCCCGAACAUGAAGGACAACUGCAUCAAUAAAUUUUUUUGGAAAACAACACCUAUAAGUAAUGGAGCAUGGAUGAUGUUCAGAGACUAAAUGAUGUGCCCGAUCAAUGGAUAGUUCAGAGGGAAACCAGGAAAAUGCUGAUUAAUUGAGAAGAAAAUAUAAUUAGGAAGAUGAGGAUGUGAUAAAAUUUGAUCUAAUGGCACUCAUUGAAUUGGAGGAGAAGCAAUGCAGCAAUGGCCCCCACUGUUUGGUGUAUAGCUGAAGAGGACAAUGAACACGCGGAGAAGGAAAAUGGACCAAAUUUUUUGAAUACGAUAUGUUAUUUUUUGUGUAAUUUUCUUGAAUUGAUUUGAAUAAACUUUUGAAAAUUUCAAAUUGCUUUCUUU